rnacentral:rRNA from 1 species
CAGUAGCCACGGUAAUACAGAGGGUGCAAGCGUUAAUCGGAUUUACUGGGCGUAAAGCGUGCGUAGGUGGCUGUUUAAGUCGGAUGUGAAAGCCCUGGGCUUAACCUGGGAACUGCAUUCGAUACUGGAUAGCUAGAGAUCGGUAGAGGGCAGCGGAAUUCCGGGUGUAGCGGUGAAAUGCGUAGAUAUCCGGAGGAACACCGAUGGCGAAGGCAACUGCCUGGGCCUGAUCUGACACUGAGGCACGAAAGCGUGGGUAGCAAACAGGAUUAGAUACCCCCGUAGACCCUGUCUCUUAUAC